UCAACUCAAAUUUGUACGAAGCCGGAAAGUUUGCUUACGUUUGUCGCUAGGGGCGCUGUUCCAACUGCAUACAAAUAAAAAA
rnacentral:pre_miRNA from 1 species